UGGGAACGUACCUUUCGGUUCGGGACAACCCAGGGAAACUUGGGCUAAUACCGGAUACGCCCUUCGGGGGAAAGAUUUAUCGCCGAAAGAUCGGCCCGCGUCCGAUUAGCUAGUUGGUGAGGUAAUGGCUCACCAAGGCGACGAUCGGUAGCUGGUCUGAGAGGAUGAUCAGCCACAUUGGGACUGAGACACGGCCCAAACUCCUACGGGAGGCAG
rnacentral:rRNA from 1 species